AACGCACAUUGCGCCCGCUAGUACUCUAGCGGGCAUGCCUGUUCGAGCGUCAUUUCAACCCUCAAGCCCCCCGGGCUUGGCGUUGGGGACCGGCAGCCCGCCCUCUGGCGGCAGCCGCCCCCGAAAACCAGUGGCGGUCUCGCUGUAGCUUCCCCUGCGUAGUAGCACACCUCGCACCGGAUCGCGGCGCGGCCAUGCCGUAAAACACCCACUUCUGAAGGUUGACCUCGGAUCAGGUAGGAAUACCCGCUGAACUUAA
rnacentral:misc_RNA from 2 species